rnacentral:rRNA from 1 species
AGAGUUUGAUCCUGGCUCAGAGCGAACGCUGGCGGCAGGCCUAACACAUGCAAGUCGAGCGGGCCCCUUCGGGGGUCAGUGGCAGACGGGUGAGUAACGCGUGGGAACGUGCCCAUCGGUUCGGGAUAACCCAGGGAAACUUGGGCUAAUACCGGAUACGCCCUUUGGGGGGAAAGAUUCAUUGCCGAUGGAUCGGCCCGCGUCUGAUUAGCUAGUUGGCGAGGUAACGGCUCACCAAGGCGACGAUCAGUAGCUGGUCUGAGAGGAUGAUCAGCCACACUGGGACUGAGACACGGCCCAGACUCCUACGGGAGGCAGCAGUGGGGAAUAUUGGACAAUGGGCGCAAGCCUGAUCCAGCCAUGCCGCGUGAGUGAUGAAGGCCUUAGGGUUGUAAAGCUCUUUCACCCACGACGAUAAUGACGGUAGUGGGAGAAGAAGCCCCGGCUAACUUCGUGCCAGCAGCCGCGGUAAUACGAAGGGGGCUAGCGUUGCUCGGAAUCACUGGGCGUAAAGGGCGCGUAGGCGGCCGAUCAAGUCAGGGGUGAAAGCCUGUGGCUCAACCACAGAAUUGCCUUUGAUACUGUUCGGCUCGAGACCGGAAGAGGUUGGUGGAACUGCGAGUGUAGAGGUGAAAUUCGUAGAUAUUCGCAAGAACACCAGUGGCGAAGGCGGCCAACUGGUCCGGUUCUGACGCUGAGGCGCGAAAGCGUGGGGAGCAAACAGGAUUAGAUACCCUAGUAGUCC